CAGCUUCUCCGCACAGCUCCAACAGCGACGAGGCGGACGCCAUGUCAGCGGCGCCGUUAGACGCUUCGUACGAGCCGUCCUAGGGCAAAACUCCAUGACCAGCAGAUAAGGAGUGACCUCCGAGCACUGGGCCAAGCAUUGCAAGAGGGCGGGGUGCUGCAAGGUCCUGGAAAUGGGAACUGCAUCUGGUCCUGGACACUUGCGCUGGCCUUCAGCUCCUUCACCACCACCUGGGUGGUGCUGAGACCCACGCUGACUUCACCCAGCAGCACCUGUGAGGUUCACACACAGCAAAUAGAUUUUGUAGGAAAUUACAAUAAAAGUCUUUAACGGAAGAUUUUUUUU